CGAAUUUACCACAGACGACGGUAUUUACUACAAAGGUCAAACAUGGAAAUAUGCAGGAUGUGAUUUUUACUUUCCUGGAGCUUAUGAGAUACAGGGUGUCUGCCCAGCAAUGGCUAGACCUGUUUGUUAUGUCUACAAUGGAGCUAUCCGCUGCGCCUCAGAGUGUCCCGGUUUAAGGAAGAUCGCAAAUCAACUACGAGGAAACCUUACAGUCGGUCCCAAUGGCCGUCAGUUAGUAUCAAAAGCCCAGCACUGCGAUAAUUCAAACCAUUGCUUGCGGGAUUUUUAUAUCCAUAAUUGUUCAUCAG